rnacentral:rRNA from 1 species
UACGUAGGUGUCGAGCGUUGUCCGGAUUUAUUGGGCGUAAAGAGCCCGCAGGCGGCUUGUCUAGUCCGAGGUGAAAUCUCCCGGCUCAACUGGGAGGGUGCCUCGGAAACUGGCAGGCUUGAGGCAGGGAGAGGGAUGUGGAAUUCCAGGUGUAGUGGUGAAAUGCGUAGAGACCCGGAGGAACACCAGUGGCGAAGGCGGCUUCCUGGUCUGCGACUGACGCUGUGGCGCGAAAGCUAGGGGAGCAAACGGG